GCCAGGCAUGAUGGUCCAUGCCUGUAGUCCCAGCUACUUGGGAGGCUGAGGCAAGAGGAUCACUUGAGCCCAGGAGGUCGAGGCUGCAGUGAGCUGUGAUCACACCACUGCACUCCAGCCUGGGUGACAGAGUGAGACUUUGUCUCAA
rfam:Nomascus leucogenys chromosome 1a, whole genome shotgun sequence.